rnacentral:rRNA from 1 species
UACGAAGGGGGCUAGCGUUGCUCGGAAUUACUGGGCGUAAAGCGCACGUAGGCGGCUUUCUAAGUCGGGGGUGAAAUCCUGGAGCUCAACUCCAGAACUGCCUUUGAUACUGAGGGGCUCGAGUCCGGGAGAGGUGAGUGGAACUGCGAGUGUAGAGGUGAAAUUCGUAGAUAUUCGCAAGAACACCAGUGGCGAAGGCGGCUCACUGGCCCGGUACUGACGCUGAUGCGCGAAAGCGUGGGGAGCAAACGGG